rnacentral:rRNA from 1 species
CCAGACUCCUACGGGAGGCAGCAGUGGGGGAUAUUGCACAAUGGGGGAAGCCCUGAUGCAGCGACGCCGCGUGAGUGAAGAAGUAUUUCGGUAUGUAAAGCUCUAUCAGCAGGGAAGAAAAAAGACGGUACCUGACUAAGAAGCCCCGGCUAACUACGUGCCAGCAGCCGCGGUAAUACGUAGGGGGCAAGCGUUAUCCGGAUUUACUGGGUGUAAAGGGAGCGUAGACGGCGACGCAAGUCUGGAGUGAAAGCCCGGGGCCCAACCCCGGGACUGCUCUGGAAACUGCGGCGCUGGAGUACGGGAGGGGCAGGCGGAAUUCCUGGUGUAGCGGUGAAAUGCGUAGAUAUCAGGAGGAACACCGGUGGCGAAGGCGGCCUGCUGGACUGCAACUGACGUUGAGGCCCGAAAGCGUGGGGAGCAAACAGGAUUAGAUACCCUUGUA